GAUGAACGCUGGCGGCGUGCCUAAUACAUGCAAGUCGAGCGAACAGAUGAGGAGCUUGCUCCUCUGACGUUAGCGGCGGACGGGUGAGUAACACGUGGAUAACCUACCUAUAAGACUGGGAUAACUUCGGGAAACCGGAGCUAAUACCGGAUAAUAUAUUGAACCGCAUGGUUGAAUAGUGAAAGACGGUUUUGCUGUCACUUAUAGAUGGAUCCGCGCCGCAUUAGCUAGUUGGUAAGGUAACGGCUUACCAAGGCGACGAUGCGUAGCCGACCUGAGAGGGUGAUCAGCCACACUGGAACUGAGACACGGUCCAGACUCCUACGGGAGGCAGCAGUAGGGAAUCUUCCGCAAUGGGCGAAAGCCUGACGGAGCAACGCCGCGUGAGUGAUGAAGGUCUUCGGAUCGUAAAACUCUGUUAUUAGGGAAGAACAAAUGUGUAAGUAACUAUGCACGUCUUGACGGUACCUAAUCAGAAAGCCACGGCUAACUACGUG
rnacentral:rRNA from 1 species